UUUUUGGCAGAAGUAACUUUUGCAACAUUGCCAAACCAUCGCUUUGUGCUUAAUAUUUCCAUAAAAAUAAGGUCACUACAAAAAAGAUUAAAACUAGCUCUAUAAUCUUUCACUGUAAAAAAUAAACUCUUGCUUGUCUGUUUAUUACCAGUCAAACAAUACUCUAUUUCACUUGAGCAGUAAAGUAAUAACAAUAAUCUUAUGAAUGCAGAAUCAAUUGUUAUCGAGUGUGUGGGAUUUAGCACCUUCUUCAGUGAAUCAGGAACAAUUCAUCAAGAAAGAGACUAGCAGGCAGAUUAACUACUAACUAAUUGGUUAGUUACAUCUAACGAUCUGAACACAAAUGAUUUAUUCAGUGUUAUGCGUUAACUAUUUCUCAGUUGUUCAUUAUAUUAAAAUGUUGCACUUAAUAGCACACAGUAACACACAAAGCUAUGUUCAAAAGAAGGACUGCAAUGGUUGAAACACUGUCUACAUCACUGUACAGGACUGUUUGAGCAUCGCUCUGAUGAACUUCUUCAGUUCUUUGUCCCCUCUGGUCCACCUCACCAGUCGAGUCAGCACUAGUCUUCCCUCUUCAGCCUGAGCCAGAGCCAGAGUCUAAACCAGGACAAGUACAGGUGCCUCCUUCUUGCAGCCACAAAGCACUGUGGGCCAUCGCGCCUCCUAUCCCUUCUGCCCUCUCUGCACCUCCCCCUGCCCACCUCAGGAUGCGGCUGCGGGCCGUAGGCACCAGCUGACGGUCUCCUCCUACCAUCGACACACUGCCCAGACGCAUCUUAAAAGCUGAAACAAGAGACCAAGACAAUGCUAUUCAACAGGCAGAAGUUUUCUUGGAUGUCAGAUUCCCCUUCAGCAGCCAGACUGCAGGCAUCACAGAUAACACUCCCUGGGGGGUGGGAAAGAGAGAGUUUUAAAUGACUGUGAGCGUCUGUGGUGGGGAUGUUAAAAGAGCAGAAACUCCAGGAUCAAGGCGUGCAAUACAACUUAAGAGAUAAGAUUGGAUAAAAUAAGACCUCAUUGAUCUCCGAAAGAGAUAUUUCAGUUGUUUCAGCACUCAAAGAAUCAAACAGUCAACAAAGUAAGCAAACAGAUUAACUGUUUUAUGAGGUUAAAGUAUUAAAUAAAUGCUGAUUAGCCAGAUAUGUGUCUCUUAAAAGAAACACAUGACAUAUAAACACAUAUCCUAGGUAAAAAAAAUGUUUUGCCUAGGAACCUACAAUUUCUGCAACAAAAAAAGAAUGAACACAUUAAUGAAUACAAUAAUAUAAUGGGGUAUAGUUUAUUCUGAAGUGUGGCACUCACAAAAUAAUUAGGAUACCUUUACUGUUGGUACUUAAAAAUACUAUAGCCUAUAAAUAUUUUGACAGUAAUAUAAUUUAGUUUUACCUACAUCACCUACUAAAUUGACCCUGCUUAACUGUGGGUUACACGUCACUCGUAGUAAAAUAAGCUUACAUUACGUCUGAAACAUCACCAGUUUUUUAAAGGUUAGGUCUACAAAUCGUGCACUGACCUUUCAGCGCCUCCUCGUGCCUGACCUCCUCCGCCGUCCGUCCCUCGUGCUCUCCGGAUGCCGGUAUACACAGCUCGGUCCCGCGCGGAAACCGGGUGCAGUUAAACAUCUCCGGCCACGGGAACCCGAAGGCACUCAUCACGGGCACGCAGCCGUCCCGCACGGCCUCGCACAGGCUCCUGCAGGGGCUGACUGGCCCGCUGAGCUCCGGCAGGCACACCGGAGCAAACAGCGAGCAUAGGAACUUCUUGGAGUCCCGGUGGCACAGCUUGGAGAUGAGGGGCAGCCAGGCUGCCGACUGCUGCUGGGCCUCCCUCAGGGUGUCAUGGCCGAGCAAGUUGGGGAUCCGCAUUUGCCUGUAGCCGAUCCCGUGGCACAGCGACAGGGUGCUCGGGAUGGGUUUACACACCGAGCGGACCGAGGAACUGAAUCCCAGUGACGGCGGCCCGAGUUGGGCAGGAGCCGCGGUGUCAGAGGCAUGGGUGACUCCUCCAAACAGCAGAAUAAAGCAGAGCACAGAAACUAACAUUGUUGUUUAGUUUCACCAGAGAACCGAGUGCACUCUGUAGAGUUGCUGCUCUUCUGUCUGGACUUGACCGGCAUGUAGGUGUAAACAAAGAGGUGUGGAGGAAAUGGGGGGUUAAUGAAAGGGCAGGCGCCUCCCAGUUAUCAUCCCACCCCAUCAGACUGUUGCCUGUCUCAACAUUUAAUAGUUUCAGGCUGCAAACUGAUUGUUUCUUUAGUUUGGCAUGCAUAUUAUGAACAUAAAUAGGCUACAUUGACGGGUUAGAGUAGCCUAUACAGUUAUCAUCGUCCGGCACUUUAAAAUAAACGUUUUUGAAAACUCAUUUUUACAUGUCAUGACUUCUUAUUUUAAAUCGCAUAAUCGCUUUUCAUCUUGUUUGUAAAAAUUGAGGACAUUAAAUUGAAAUACUGUUUAGAUAAGGGUUACACGUCAAACUGAACAGUGCGAUUUUGAACCAGAGAAAUCUAGCGUAUUUUUUUUAAAGGAUUAAUACAGAGACUUUUAUUACUAAUAGCCUUUUUAGGAAACACAUAGAAAGCUGUUUUGGUGUGUGAUAAGCUUUGAAAAACAUUACUGUCAGUAUUGUAAAAUCGGUUAGUGGAAAUGAAAUGUAGUGUGAAAAGAACUAUGUGUGGUUACCUGUCAUCAUACUCAGCCAGAGGGUAGGAGAGACCCUUUCAUCUUUUUCCAGGGAGACACAGGGCACCAACAUGCCUCGUCCUGCUCCCUUGUU